rnacentral:rRNA from 1 species
UACGUAGGGUGCAAGCGUUAAUCGGAAUUACUGGGCGUAAAGCGUGCGCAGGCGGUUAUGCAAGACAGAGGUGAAAUCUCCGGGCUCAACCUGGGAACUGCCUUUGUGACUGCAUAGCUAGAGUACGGUAGAGGGGGAUGGAAUUCCGCGUGUAGCAGUGAAAUGCGUAGAUAUGCGGAGGAACACCGAUGGCGAAGGCAAUCCCCUGGACCUGUACUGACGCUCAUGCACGAAAGCGUGGGGAGCAAACAGG